UACGUAGGGUGCAAGCGUUAAUCGGAAUUACUGGGCGUAAAGCGUGCGUAAGCGGUUUCGCAAGUCCGCUGUGAAAGCCCCGGGCUUAACCUGGGAAUGGCAGUGGAAACUAUGGGACUUGAAUCUGGCAGAGGGGGGUGGAAUGCCACGUGUAGCAGUGAAAUGCGUAGAGAUGUGGCGGAACACCGAUGGCGAAGGCAGCCCCCUGGGCCAAGAUUGACGCUCAGGCACGAAAGCGUGGGGAGCAAACAGG
rnacentral:rRNA from 1 species